rnacentral:rRNA from 1 species
CCUACGGGUAGCAGCAGUGGGGGAUAUUGCACAAUGGAGGAAACUCUGAUGCAGCGACGCCGCGUGAGGGCAGACGGUCUUCGGAUUGUAAACCUCUGUCUUUGGGGAAGAAAAUGACGGUACCCCAAGACGAAGCUCCGGCUAACUACGUGCCAGCAGCCGCGGGAAUACGUAGGGGGCGAGCGUUGUCCGGAAUUACUGGGUGUAAAGGGAGCGUAGGCGGGCUAGAAAGUUGAAUGUUAAAUCUACCGGCUUAACUGGUAGCUGCGUUCAAACCUUCUUGUCUUGAGUGAAGUAGAGGCAGGCGGAAUUCCUAGUGUAGCGGUGAAAUGCGUAGAUAUUAGGAGGAACACCAGUGGCGAAGGCGGCUUACUGGACUGUAACUGACGUUGAGGCUCGAAAGCGUGGGGAGCAAACAGGAUUAGAUACCCGGGUAGUC